AGAAGAUCCAACGUUCGAUGUUCUUGAAGAAACUAAUCUCGGAUGGUUCCAGAGGUUAUUGAAUCGGGAAAUGAUGAAGAGCAACCAGAUGAUGUAGAGAUAAAAGGACCCGAACUUAAUGCGGGAGUUUUGAAACUAUUGAGAAAAUUAUUGCUGGUGAUUGGAUUAAGGGACUUCUGGGGUAUUGAAUGAUUUACUAUUGUAUCUGAUCUUGAUGUGGUUAUUGGCUGUGUGUAAAAGCAGGAUCAUAAUGGUAGAGAACUGUAGUAUCCAGUACCUAGCUUUGCGUGUAACUGCAAAGUUUUAGGUUGUUGUGUUCGUUCCAGCUUUUGCAUACUAGUUUACAUUUAUCACUCAACUUAUCUGGUGAAUAAGAGAAAAAAAAUGUUGAACUUAGUAUCGACAUGAAAUUACUAGAUAUAUAUCUAGGGAUUUCUAA